ACCCUAGCCCCUUUCCCCGAUCCCCACAGCAGCCGCACCCUCUCCUCGCUCGCAGCCGCCUCCUCUCCUCUCCCCCACGCCGCCGGCCUUGUCUCUUCGCUCGCCUCCUCCUCUCUUCCAUGCCUCCAUGGUUCCAGAUUGGGCACUGGUCGCCGUCGUGCGAGAGCAGGGCAGCGGGGUCUUCGCGGAGGAGUGGAGGGGGAGGAUGCGGACGACAGGGCGAAGGAGGUGGCUGGCGAGGAGGACAAGCAGCAGGGGGGAGGAGAAGGGUGACGCCUCGCACACCGUCUCCUCCCCGCGGCGGUUGGCCGGUCGACUCGUCGCGCCACCGCGUCCUCACCUCCUCUGCGCCAUGAGAGGCGCCGCCUCUGCUUCCACCCCCGCUUCCUGCUUCCUUCCUCCUUGGCACCACAGCUGCCGCUCUACUCCCUCCCUUGUCAGCCACCGGCUCACGAACCUCCCUCGUUUGGGCCAGGGCAGAAGGCCAUGGCGAAUCUUGCGCCUCUAGAAGAAGCAGCAGGGUUGGUGGAGCGUCGAAUACGGGCGGGGUCAACGGUUGAGGGAGGGUCGCCCACCGAAGCAGCAGGAGAAAGACCUUGAGUGAAGCUGCAUCAUCCAACACAGCGAGAUGAAAUACUCAGAAGAAAUUGCAGCAAGUGCGAUUGAUAGUCAGGGAAUUGAUUUGAUUCUGAAUCUUCCGUUCUUCGGGAUGGGUAUGUCAGCUACGAGCUCUACCGCCGAGUUCUGUCUAUGAAGGACAUGAUGCAUCCUCGUUGUCUUCCCGACCCCAGACGCCGUUGAUGCUUCUGAGCAGAACUCCAACUGAGUAGAAUGGUCCCGGUGGUCUGAGCAGAAUGGACUCCUGGAAGACUUUCAUUUCUUUUUUUCUAUAAUUAAUGAGUACUUUUAGUUCAAACCUAUGGAGUAUCGUCUCAUGUUAUGUGAAUAUAACUUCUUAUGUUUUUUCAUGUUACAAGUUCAUUGUUGACGUUUGCGCGAGUUCAUGUACAUUUAGUGGACCCGUUGAAGUGGCGCAUAUGUAUUGGUUGGGAGAAGCGCGCUUUGUGUUUGGCUUA